rnacentral:rRNA from 1 species
CCUACGGGUGGCAGCAGUGGGGAAUAUUGGACAAUGGGGGGAACCCUGAUCCAGCGACGCCGCGUGCGUGAAGAAGUAUUUCGUUAUGUAAAGCUCUAUCAGCAGGGACGAAAAUGACGGUAAUUGACUAAGAAGCCCCCGCUAACUACUGGCCAGCAGCCGCGGUAAUACGUCGGGGGCAAGCGUUAUCCGGCUUGACUGGGUGUAAAGGGAGCGUAGACGGUGCAGCAAGUCUGAUGUGAAAGGUCGGGGCCCAACCCCGGGACUGCAUGGGAAACUGUUGAACUGGAGUACAGGAGAGGUAAGCGGAAUUCCUAGUGUAGCGGUGAAAUGCGUAGAUAUUAGGAGGAACACCAGUGGCGAAGGCGGCUUACUGGACUGUAACUGACGUUGAGGCUCGAAAGCGUGGGGAGCAAACAGGAUUAGAUACCCGAGUAGUC